AAAAAAAGUCCUACUUGUUCUUGAUGAUGUCGAUGACUCUAAUCAAGUUAAUGCAGUUUUCGGGAUGAAAAGUUUGUUUUACCCGGGAAGUAAAAUAGUCAUAACAACCAGACAGAAGCGUAUUCUAAAUCCUCACCUAGUUGACAAGGUUUAUAGAGUAGAGACACUUGGCAGAGAUGAAUCCUUAGAGCUCUUUAGUUGGCAUACAUUUGGAAAACCACAUCCUGAAGAAGGUUUUCUUGAGUGUUCAAAUAAAGUCAUGGAACGGUGUGGAGGAAAUCCACUUGCACUAAGAGUUUUGGGUUCUUCCCUGGCAGGAAAAAGUCUAGAUGUAUGGCAAAGUACAAUAAAUAAGUUGAAAGUUG
rnacentral:misc_RNA from 1 species